AUCAACCUGAUCUCACAGAAAUGCGUGAAAUGAACACGACCUCUUAACCACGAAUUACGUGGUGGUGGCACGGAUUGUGUUGAAAUUGCGUGUCGGCAGCACGGAAACAAGACCCAUACAAAGUCAAUGAGGCUAUUUUGUCGUGUGGGUGACACGGAUUCCCUGGUUUAAUAACGUCACACAGUGGGCGGCGGUAAAAGCUAUUACGUUGGUCCUUAACUUAAUAUAAGCAGUGCUAUUACGUUGGUCCUGAACAUAAAAUAAAUAUAGCCAAUUUAUUGCAGUGCUAUUACGUUUGUCCUGAACAUAAUACAUUCAAAGCAUAGAUUAAAUCGUACUAUACCAUACGAUUUUGCAGAAACGCUCGGGAAUUCAGGUGCUGUAAAUCCGGUGGACAGGACUCAUCUCGUUAUAGAUCAAGAUAAUUUAUAAAGAUCUUUAAGGGUCGGAAUAUCAGAUAGUUGACAUAGUUCAUAUUUUUAAUUAAAAAAGUAAAAACGAAAUAAGAGGAAUAGCAUACAUUAUUGUUGUUGCGGUGUGUCACGUGACAAUCAUGACCCGUCGCCAUGGACACAAGGGGUCGGAUAUUUAAAGUUAAAUAUUUUUAACUUACGCGUGAAAUGGUUAAUUUUAAAAAUAUAUAUAUUCUAAGUAAACAACAACAGCCCAAGUUUAAUAAACAUUUUUUUAUUGAAACUAUAAAUAAAUAUUCUGCAUCCAUUAGGUGUGCCACUGUGGGUUGCUCCCGCACACCCGUGGCUACGCCCCUGCCGUGACCCAAAUCUCGUUCGCACAUCAUCGGGAUAUUUAUCAUCAAUUUACAAACCUCGCCAGUCGCCACAUCUUUUUUCUUCACAUACAUCUCAUACUCCUCCAUCUACACGCUCCACAACAUUUAAACCAACGGCUCUUUUAACAGCCAUCACUUGCAAAAGCUCUCCUACUCACUCACUCACUCACUCACUCACUCACUCUCCAACUCACUCAAGGUGCGUUCCAUUCGACCGUAAGUCGACCAUCAAGAGGUAUUUAUUUGUACACAUGUAUUUACCAAUUGAAAAGUUCUUUGUAUUAUAAUGGUCUUUUUUCACAGACUGUGAUGAUGCAUUUCCACAGUUAUGUUUUGUCAUUCACAUUUUUGUGUUGAAAUAGAUUAGCCUAUCCCCUGUAUGUCAUUGAUGCACUACUUCAAAGAUGUGAGAAAAAGAACAUACACCUGCGAGUAGUCUGUUACAUUGACUGUGUUGCUGCCUCACAUUUGCAGAAAUCAGGUGAGGGCAUAUCACACAACAUUGCCUUGGCCGUAGCAGCAUUUCAUGUUUAUGGACACAAAUUGCCCUGCCAGAUCAAGUACAGUACCAGAUGGCUUGAUGGGUUUGGGCUCACAGACGGGGAAGGAAUGGAAAGGCUGUGGUCUUUCCUCCAAAGAUUUGCCAGAGUCACAAAGGAGAUGACUCCAUCUCAUCGCCUUGACCUACUGACUGAUGCCCUUUUUGCAUUAUGGACGGUGGAAAUCAACUGACCUAGAGGUGCAGCUCCUGCAAAGAGUAGACAAAGCAGAGAAAAUAUUGCUCAAGAAGAUAUCUCAUCUGUCAUCAGAGAGGCACCAGGUAAACAAUGCACAUAAGAAGCAGUGUUGAUUUCUGAAGGAGACAUGGAGAGAUGGAAAAAGCUAGCCCAACAGAAACCAAUAAGUAAGGAACUGAAGUUAAAGUCUUAAAUACUAUGGAAAAGGGACUACAUCAUCAGACUGAUUCAGUUCUACAAGUUCAAAAUUGAGGACUCUGCUGAACAUUGAGGAAAAAUACCGUAUUGGGAGAAGAUGGCAAGAGUCUGAUUCAAACUUCCAGUCUACCCUUAAAGAUGUGGACCGUGAGCUCAGAGUCCAACUGUAAGGCUAGAACUGAAUCAAGGGAGAGAGCAGUCGUCCUCCACCUGAGAAGAAUAUAUCCAGCUUUGCUUCAGAUGGGCAGGGCAUUGCCAUUAGACUCUCCAAGCAGGUAGCCAAUUGAUUUUCAGGAAUCAUGUGAUCCCUCUUGGCAUGUCUACUUCUGCUUUAAUGACACUAUUGAAGAAGAUGAUGUUUCGAGGAGUCUAAAAAGGCGAGGGAUUGAUGCCUUACAUAUGAAGAGUGCAUGCUUUACCAGGAAAUAUGAAGUCUAAGGGGCCAGUCACACCAAAAGCGUUUAUGGCAGUUGCAGGCGCCUUUUUUGAAUGAUAUUCUAUGGGCAGGGCGCGUUUACGCGCUGUUUAUGUGCGCCGAGCGCCGCGCGUUUUUUUGCCGCCUGCCGCGCACGCGUUUUUGAAGGAGCGCUGAGAGCGGAGAAGUGCCCGACGUCAUUCGGGUCUUUCCAUUGUCCAAUCAAAUGAGGGGAGAGGCGGGCCUUACGUUGUGGUGAGUGAAGUUUACAGUUGCUUUGAAGAACCGGACUCCACUCGCUCACUCUCUCCUGCGUGUUUGUGCACCUCUCACCCUCAAACAAGGUCAGAGCAAGCGCCCUCUUUUUAAAGUUUCUGCUAAUAUGACAGUUAACAGCAAAAGAGCGCUCAUGCUUCAAUGUUUGAUUGACAAGACAGCUGACUCGGUGGUUGCUUAGCAAUAUGAAGAGCCACGUCGCACUGCUCUUUUUUUGCAAGCGUUUAAAGCGCUUUUGGUGUGACUGGCCCCUAACUGAACACCCUAUCAGCAGCAGGCCUCUAACAUUUGGGCUCUAACAUCAAAGACACUGAGCAGCCUGGUGCAAAAGCUGCUCUCAUUCAACACCUCCAACAGCUGGAAAGAAAACUACAUCAAGCCAUUGUGAUGUUUCACCCACAUCUAUCGGACAUUGUUCCUGCAGACAACCCCCACUUGUGUCAGGCCCUCCCCAUGCCAAGCAUACAGACACUGGUAUACAAUGAUAAGAGUGAUAAUGAUGAAAAUGUGGAUAAAUAUGAUAACUAGCACUACAGAUUUUUUGUUAAUUUCUAGUCUGAUAUUGUAUUCUGUAAAAAGAAAGAUGUAAAAUGUAUAGUAUAUGUUGCAGCAUAUCAUAGAAACCUUUAUGGUGGUGUAAUAUAAUGUUCGCCUUACUUGUGCAAACAUGAUGUUUUACUAGGUCUGAUUUAUUUUAAAACGUAGGUACUGUUUUUAAGCACACAUAUUCACACUAGUCUGUGUGAGGACAAAAUUGUGUGUUUACCAUUGUGAUGUUACUUAUUUACAGUAAUGUACAAAUGUGGUCAAUGUGUGUAAGGUGUUUUGUUUUUGUGAGCUAAGUU